GUGUGCUUAACACAUGCAAGUCGAACGCACCUUCGGGUGAGUGGCGGACGGGUGAGUAACGCGUGGGAAUCUGCCCUUAGGAGGGGGAUAACGGCUGGAAACGGCCGCUAAUACCCCAUAUGCCGAGAGGUGAAACGAAUUUCGCCUGAGGAUGAGCCCGCGUCUGAUUAGCUAGUUGGUGGGGUAAGAGCCCACCAAGGCGACGAUCAGUAGCUGGUCUGAGAGGAUGAUCAGCCACACUGGGACUGAGACACGGCCCAGACUCCUACGGGAGGCAGCAGUGGGGAAUUUUCCGCAAUGGGCGAAAGCCUGACGGAGCAACGCCUGAGGGAUGAAGGCCUCUGGGCUGUAAACCUCUUUUCUCAAGGAAGAAGACAUGACGGUACUUGAGGAAUAAGCCACGGCUAAUUCCGUGCCAGCAGCCGCGGUAAUACGGGAGUGGCAAGCGUUAUCCGGAAUUAUUGGGCGUAAAGCGUCCGCAGGCGGCUCUGUAAGUCUGUUGUUAAAGCGUGGAGCUCAACUCCAUUUCAGCAAUGGAAACUACAGGGCUUGAGUGUGGUAGGGGCAGAGGGAAUUCCCGGUGUAGCGGUGAAAUGCGUAGAUAUCGGGAAGAACACCAGUGGCGAAGGCGCUCUGCUGGGCCAUAACUGACGCUCAUGGACGAAAGCCAGGGGAGCGAAAGGGAUUAGAUACCCCUGUAGUCCUGGCCGUAAACGAUGAACACUAGGUGUCGGGGGAAUCGACCCCCUCGGUGUCGUAGCCAACGCGUUAAGUGUUCCGCCUGGGGAGUACGCACGCAAGUGUGAAACUCAAAGGAAUUGACGGGGGCCCGCACAAGCGGUGGAGUAUGUGGUUUAAUUCGAUGCAACGCGAAGAACCUUACCAGGGUUUGACAUCCUGCGAAUCCCUUGGAAACUUGGGAGUGCCUUCGGGAGCGCAGAGACAGGUGGUGCAUGGCUGUCGUCAGCUCGUGUCGUGAGAUGUUGGGUUAAGUCCCGCAACGAGCGCAACCCACGUCUUUAGUUGCCAGCAUUCAGUUGGGCACUCUAGAGAGACCGCCGGUGAUAAACCGGAGGAAGGUGUGGAUGACGUCAAGUCAUCAUGCCCCUUACAUCCUGGGCUACACACGUACUACAAUGCUACGGACAGAGGGCAGCAAGCUCGCGAGAGUUAGCAAAUCCCAUAAACCGUGGCUCAGUUCAGAUCGUAGGCUGCAACUCGCCUACGUGAAGGAGGAAUCGCUAGUAAUCGCAGGUCAGCAUACUGCGGUGAAUACGUUCCCGGGCCUUGUACACACCGCCCGUCACACCAUGGAAGUUGGCCAUGCCCGAAGUCGUUACC
rnacentral:rRNA from 1 species